AGGAACCUGCCUUGGAUGGGGAAUAACAGCUGGAAACAGCUGCUAAUACCGCAUAAUAUAUCUGGGCCGCAUGGCUCUGGAUAUCAAAGAUUUAUCGCUCUGAGAUGGACUCGCGUCUGAUUAGCUGGUUGGCGGGGUAACGGCCCACCAAGGCGACGAUCAGUAGCCGGACUGAGAGGUUGGCCGGCCACAUUGGGACUGAGACACGGCCCAGACUCCUACGGGAGGCAGCAG
rnacentral:rRNA from 1 species